GGCCGCAUGGAGAAAUUGGUAAACUCAAGAGACUUAAAAUCUCUCGCUCUCAAGGGGCUUCCCGGUUCGAGUCCGGGUGCGGCCACCA
rnacentral:tRNA from 2 species